GGUCGGUCCAGGGUCUCUGUGGUCGUCGCUGUCAUCUCCUUCAUAUCUGUUGUAGCUGUCGCUGCUCUGGUCAUAUUUCUCUCACCGCCUUCAUCUGAAACAAACUAAGCAUCCAGACUCACAAAGCCAACCAGAACUGCUCAAAGAAGUGGUGAUAUUCAUGCUGCAUGGAGCUCACAGCCACUUUCUCUGACACAGGAGACACAAGAUGCUCAGGUUGCUCUGGCAGCUCAGGAUGCUACAAUAGUGAUUGUCAAACAAUCCAGCUCUAAGAGUCGGCUCUCUGUAAAGAGCCUGAAUUCCCAUCACUAUGCUGCAGUGAUUUAGGUCACUGAGGUCACGGUCAGACCCCAUGAAUGAGUUAGUCAGUGACUUCAGUAGAGGCCUCGCUGGACUCAGAGGCACAACGCUCCGUUUUCAUACAGAACGAUUCAGAAACAGAUCUCUGAAACAAGAAUACACAACCUCAUUGUUGGUUGAAUCAAAACAUAAAAAUCACACCAGGCUGCUGCCAAGAAGAGAAUGAUGAGAAUGAUGACCUAGUGGGAGCGGGUCCUUCCAACACCACAUGAAUCCCUCCAGAGAGCAGCUCGUAUUCCAGAGCGAGCCACGCCUCCCACCUUCCAGUUUUUCUCAUAAAGCUGUAGCUCCCGCUGCUAUCAACUGUUGGAGGAUCUGUUUGGAAAGCAUCGUCCACUGGAACCGAUGAUUCAUUAAAGCUGUUUGGAGGGAUUUAAAGGACCUGGCUGUAGGAGCGCAGACCCCUGGGACCACAUUCAAUGAGCUCUGAUUGUUUUUGUUCUCUCAUUAAUGUCACUGAGAAACUGAGCUAGAAGCAGAUUACAUGAGUACCUCGUGUGUUUAUGAACUGCUGCACUUUGCUCCAGCUCAUGAAAGAAAAACUGGAAUUUUGUCUUUGUGUCAUUUACAGCUGCAAACAUGCAGACUGACAGAAAUCCUCCUGACUUUAGUUUUUGCUGCAGCUAGCAGAUAUAACUGAUGGCAUUCUUGUUUUGUUUAAUGUAUUUAAUUGUUUUAUUUAUUUAUUUAUGCCUGUUCUGUCAGACGUUCUGUUGUUGCAUUAAAUGAAAGUUCUGUUUUUGUA